GGCUCUAACACUGCUCCCACCUACACCAAGCCCUUUCCUCACCUGACUGUCUCUUCGCAGCCCCAUGACGGCCUCGUAAGAAGGGGGGCAAUCAGUAGGAUACAAGGGCACCGGGCUAUCCAUGGAGCCAUUAUAUGUGAUGCUGGCAGGAUGAGGGAGAGGAUCAGGGUCUGGAAAAUCACUCCUGCUCCACAUCUAUGCCUCCCCAGCAAUCCAGCCUUCCCCCAACACCCCUAACCCCCGUCUUACCUUUGUGCAUCUGUCUCUGAACUGCAGGUGUACUCUGGAGGGUAGUAGGGUGGUGGGGGCACAGGUGGGACAAAUUCCUCCAAGUCCAGCAUGGUGUGUAGGAGAGGAGCUGGAGGCGAGGAUGUACAAGCCAGGGGCCCUAGGGGGCCUGAGACUGAGCGUUCAGGGGCAAGCUGCUAGGGAGCAAGCCUGGUUUCAAAUUUCUUUCCUUUCUGCUAUUUUUAUGGCCCUACUUCCACCAUGAAGGUCCAGUUCCAACCUUCCUCAGCCACACCCAGGUCUUCUUCACCCUGCCUCAAGCUGUACCUCCAGCUCUGGCCUUGUCCACCUAUAAAUCUCUCUUUUUUCGUUUCACAUCUAUCCAUAAUUGUCACCUGUUCCCUGUCACCACAUGACUACCCAUCCUUUACGCCCUCCUCCACCUAGGACCUUUCCGAUUUUCACUUCAUCCAAUCUUUCUCUCUCUCCCUUCUGCACAAAACAUCCCUGAAAUAAAUAUCCUCAGGUGACCUAGUGCCCAUGCUCAAAAUCUCGACCUGUAGUUAUGCUUGGCAGGCCCAAUGCCAGCAAACACCCCCAGCUCCCAGCACACCUAUCUGCUUGGGCCUUGGCUCCCUUCUUACCAUAUGCACCAGAUCCAGGGAGAAGAUCUGGACACAGCAGACAAUAGCAGACAGGGUACAGAUUAUUGCAGCACAAAUGGUAAGCCCACAGACACUGAAGAGCAGGUUCUGGAGAAGGGAUGGUGAAGGAGAGGAGUAAGGGGCCCAGGACAGGAAAACCUUACAUACUUGAGCCUUUGAGAACUCCAGAAGGAGAGGAAAGGAGGAGACCCAGGAUAACAGUGUCUCCCACCUCAAAUCUCACCAUGGAGCAUUCUCGGAAAUCCCGAGCCAGCUGAGCAUUCUUACAGGAGAGAACAGAACCAGCCAUGCUGAGCAUGACACAGAGCACCGAAAGCAAGGAGAAGAAAGAGAUCUGAGGGAAAGAGGGUGUCUGUCAUCUCAGGGCUGGGACCUUCACUGGCACUCCUCUUCCACAGAAUGAGCCACCCUCUUCUCCUGACAGUUUCUGUCAGCCAUGUACUAACGGGAAAGCUCCUGAGGGCAUAAAGGGUAUCCCCUCUGGUGUUGGGCACCUGCUUCCCAGUGGGCAUCGAGCCUUUUCACCUACCACUAGAGUGAAUGGCCGCUUCCAGGACACAAUGCCAACCAACCCGGAGAACGCCAGCUAGGGACAGAGUGGGCACAGGCUCAGCCUGGCAGGGGAGGCACCUAAGUGAGCCCCUUGCCACAGGAUGCACCCAGCCCUGCAAGGAGGGAGAGGACCAGGAGAAGGAGGAAAAACGUGUGGGCUUGCAGGUUCCGGGGAGGAAGAGUUCUCACCAAAAGUGACUGACUGCUCAUUAACAGAAAGGCGUGGCAAACCGGGCUGGGGCUCCCUGAUGUCUCUGGCCAAUCAGCCUGCCCACUUUGCCAAGUGCAACCUCUCCUGCAGAGAGUGUUUAACACUCCAGUCCCCCACUCCACACAAUGGCCCAAUCUCGAGUAAAGAUACAGGAAAUGGCUGUUUUGGCUCUAGCCAAGGCGUGUGCUGGCUUCAGUUGCACUAGCCUCUCCCAAGGAAAAGGCCCACAUUCCCUUUUGUUGGACAACCCCAUUAACUGAGCUGCCCAGCGUGGAAGGGGUGAGGAUGAAUGGCAGCUCACACACCUGAAGCCCCACCCUGGGAUACCAAUGGCCUGGAGGACAAAGAACACAUCCUGGACGAAGAAAAUGAAGAAAAAAACGAAGAAAUUGAAUGAACUAUCACUCCUGCAAAGAGAAAAAAAGCAAGUGUGGGAGAAUUAGAAAAUGAGAGUCAGAGCAGCUGUGGGGCGUGCAGCCCUUCCUCCAAUCACCUUUCACUGCAUUUCACUGCAGCCCUCCCAUCACCUCUCACUGUAUCUCACUGCAGCCCUCCCAUCACCUCUCACUGCAUCUCACUGCAGCCCUUCAAUCACCUCAGGGCAGCCCUUCCACCACCUCUCACUGCAUCUCACUGCAGCUCUUCCAUCACCUCCUACUGCAGCCUUUCCAUCACCUCCCACUGCAUCUCACUGCAGCCCUUCCAUUCACCCCUCUCACUUACCGGAAA